GUCUAUGACCAUGCCACCCUGAAUGUACCUGAUAUUGUCUUACUUAGCUCAGUAGCUAAGCAGAGUCAGGCAUAACUAGUACUUAGUAUUUGAAAAGGAGAAUUUUCACUUAAUCACC
rnacentral:rRNA from 1 species